AUGAAAUCACCCAGAAAAGUUAAAACUGACAUUGUGGACAAAUCUAAAUGAAGUGCAUGUUUCCCAACAAACUAAUAAGAAGAUAAACAUAAAUAAAUAAGAAGAUAAAGAGAUUACAAACUUAAAUAAAAACAACCAUCAAAAUAAUAAAAAUAACAACAUAGUUCAAAAUAAAAAUAAAAUAAAGAAGUCUCACAAAUAAAAAUAAGACAACUAACAAAAGAAAAGAAAAAUAAAAUAAAAAUAAAAGUACAACUGGAAAAAAAAUAAACUAGAAUAGUAAAUCAGGUCAUGGAUCGACGUUGUGCGAAAUGUUGGGAUCCUGAGGUGCAUGAUCCAGUGGAGAAAUAUGGAAAUGCUGGCAAAUCCGCUACAAAUACACCUGAAUGGUAUUGAGUCGUGCUGACUACUAUUGCUGAGUACAAUAAAUAUCGUCGAGUGUGAUUGAAUGCGUAGGUGCAGCAAUAUAGGGGCUCGGAGGAGGAGUGGGAAUAGGUCACAAUGGUGGUGGGGGAUCAUUGUUGAGAUGAUCAUCAUCCUCGUGUUAAUGAGUCAAUCAUAACAACACAUGCUGAUCACAGAAAGGCCCAGGCUGAUGAGCAAUCAUCCUCAUGUGUCUCAUAAUGUUUAAACCAUGUGGUAUCAUAUCCCCAACCAAACUAAGAGUACUAAUCUGCUCAGGGUCUCGAGGAGGUCGAUGUAAUGAGCCAAGCCUGUGAUAUAUGGACCCAUACAAAGAGUAUUCUUCGUGUCUGCUCACUUUGAUUACUACAACAUUGGGCGACGAAGUGGGCUAGAUCAAUUAGAUGCCGCCUAUGCAUGCUCCAAAAGAAAUAUGUAUCUAAAGUGCCCACAACGCUCGUACUCUCCUUCUGGCUGGUCAAAGUAUGAGCUAGGAAAGUGUGAAUGCAAGCAAGGCUGAAGGAAAGCACUGAGCCUUGGAUUGGAUGAAGUUAUAUGGAACGACAACCUCAACGAUCUCUGACCAGUAGAGAGAGGCGGUAUAAUGGAUGUGUCAUAAGAGGGAGGAGAGUUCGGUCGUUGCUAGGAAAUCAUCAGAGUAUAGGUCGAGAGUGACAACAAAAGCAGCAAUACUAAAGUGUUAAGCGAUACCAAGACAGAAUGAUAUAGCUCAAGGUUCGUCCCCCGACGAAAGCACCGACUAUAGAAAAAAUAUGGAGUAAAACUCCAAUGUAAGCUCAGCAUAUGUGAGCUCCACGAUCAUGAAGAAUCGCUCCCAUGAAGUCACGUUUAGUAGAGAAUGAACCAGUGCAAAUAAACCCACAGUCUGAAAGGCUUCUCAAUCGAUACAUCAACCCACACCCAAGGCUCUACCCUUAAGAUUUUGGUACCUCUCCUCAUAGGAUGGAUGGUCAAAUGUGAGGUAGUGGUGGCAAUCGAUUGGAGAUGAGGAAGAUGAAGCUCCAGUAGCUUUUGUUUUCUUGGAAUGAGCGGGGACCUUACUCUUUCCUCAUGAGUUCGACAUUAUGUACCUGAAAUAAAAUAUAAUAACCAAAUAUUACCAUGAAUAAAGCAAAUGUACAAAUUAACACAAUAGUUCCAAUCCAAUAAGCUACAUAACAAACACCAAAUCCAAACGAAAACUUGAACCAAAAGACCAAACAACUAAUCUAAUAAUAAUUUAACCAACACGUAACAUUAUAUAAACAAUGAUAACAUAGUAAUAAUAAAGAUAAAAUAAAGUCUAAUAAUUAAUAAGAAUAAGAAUAAAACUGACAAUAAUUAAACCCAACUAAACAAAAAAUAUUAAUAAUAGUAAUAAUAAUAAAUAAAAUAUGAAAAAUAAAAGGGUUAAAACCAAACGGUGGGGGUUUUGACAAACUGUGGUGACAGAGGAACGGCGGUCGACGGCGUUGGAGGAAGGGCUCUGAUGAGGCGUAGGGAGGAGAACUGGGUUUGGGUGUUGAUUGCGAUUGGAAGGUGAAAGAAGGUGGUGUGAGAAAACGGUUACUGAACAGGGAGGAAAGGGAAAGGGGGAUUCGAAGGUGGUUCGGCCGAUGUAAGGGAGAGGAGGGAAAAAAAUGGAUGGUAGAGGAAACAACGCAAUCGACAGUGGAGGAAGGAAAAGGAAAAGAAGAAGCGUAAGGGUGUGGUGGGCAGUCGAUAGAGGGGGUUUGCGCAGUUAGUGGUUGGUGAUCAGACCAAUGAGGGAGGAGGAGCGAUAAAUGGAUAGAAUCAGUAGCGAAGAGGGCUGGGAAGAGAUCAGUGAGGGCAGCGAUGGCUAGGGUAAUUCAAAAAGAAGACAAAAGUAAAAAAAAAUUUAAAACGCUAGCUUAUAGAUGACACGAUCGUGUAAUUG
rnacentral:lncRNA from 1 species